rnacentral:rRNA from 1 species
CGUAGGGUGCAAGCGUUGUCCGGAUUUAUUGGGUUUAAAGGGUGCGUAGGCGGUCUAUUAAGUCAGUGUUUAAAUUUUGCAGCUUAACUGUAGGUAUGGCAUUGAUACUGAUGGACUUGAAUAUUAAGGAGGUAGCUGGAAUUUAUGGUGUAGCGGUGAAAUGCAUAGAUACCAUAAGGAACACCGAUAGCGGAGGCAGGUUACCACUUGAUAAUUGACGCUGAGGCACGAAAGUGUGGGGAUCAAACAGGAUUAGAUACCCUGGUAGUCCACACUGUAAACGAUGAUUACUAGAUGCCGGGGGCUUGCCUUCGGUGUUCAAGCGAAAGCGAUAAGUAAUCCACCUGGGGAGUACGACCGCAAGGUUG